AGGAUUUCUGGUUGGAAAUCCUUCCCUUGUAGUGUUUUCUUUGGAAGUUUUGAUCUUCAGAGAAAGAUGGGCUUGGAUCUCCAAAGGCAAUGAAGUAAUCAACAGCUCAGAGUCAAAAUACCUGGAGACAUGUCAGAUGCCUUCCUUACCUCUGGUGACUCUAAAUUAAGUGCAACACGUGAAUGUAUUCCCCCUGAGAAAUGCAAUAAACUAUUUUGCUAUCAAGUGCAUUAAGAUUUCAUCAUACAGUGAAAUCAUUCUUCUGAUUCUUUCCAGAGUGAUGUAUCCCAGGUCCCGUAACUGCAGCAAAUCCAACAAAAACCCAUCAGCUAAGAUAAUUAUAGGAGAGUGUUGAAGGUGAUGCAGAGGCUUAGUGAACUACCCUGGAGCUGUGUGCUGAAAUCCUGCAGAUCUGGACUUGGGAGAGUCCACCUGGUAGGCUUGUCCCACUGCUGGCCGUCCUGCAAGGGUGAAGAGCACUAUCUGGAGAGUACAAGUACCCUGUCCUAAGAGAAGUCACCUGAUAGACUGUUCUUGGGCUGGUGUUCCCUUUAGCUGAUGUGAAAGCAGAAAGAUCAUUUUACUUUUAUUCCCACACUACUGGAAUUUUCUGUUGGGUUUCUUCAGAGUUGUGUGCCCUGCUGGGAUGAUGCAGAGUCUCUUUCUGCAUUGUCCUGUAGGUCUUAUCACUAAGCAGAAUCGAUGUAGCCCUGGAUGCUGCAGCCCUGCCCCAUACAUCCCCCCAGAGGUGAAAAUCUCAGAAAGCAGCAGGACAGCCAUCUUCGCAUUCGUAUGUGCAGAAAAGAUUAUCAGCCCUUCUUCUGUUUUUGCUUUUUA